rnacentral:rRNA from 1 species
GACGAACGCUGGCGGCGUGCUUAACACAUGCAAGUCGAACGGAAAGGCCCUGCUUGCAGGGUACUCGAGUGGCGAACGGGUGAGUAACACGUGGGUGAUCUGCCCUGCACUUCGGGAUAAGCCUGGGAAACUGGGUCUAAUACCGGAUAGGAGCCAUUUUUAGUGUGAUGGUUGGAAAGUUUUUUCGGUGUAGGAUGAGCUCGCGGCCUAUCAGCUUGUUGGUGGGGUAAUGGCCUACCAAGGCGGCGACGGGUAGCCGGCCUGAGAGGGUGGACGGCCACAUUGGGACUGAGAUACGGCCAAGACUCCUACGGGAGGCAGAAGGGGGGAAUAUUGAACAAUGGGCGCAAGCCUGAUGCAGCGACGCCGCGUGGGGGAUGACGGCCUUCGGGUUGUAAACUCCUUUCGCUAGGGACGAAGCUUUUUGUGACGGUACCUAGAUAAGAAGCACCGGCUAACUACGUG